UAUAUGAAGGUGUAUAUAGUUUAACCUGCUCACUGAUUAUAUUAAAGAGCCGCAGUAUUUUGACUGUGCGAAGGUAGCAUAAUAAAUUGUCUUUUAAAUGAAGGCUUGAAUGAAAGGUUGGACAAAGUAUCAUCUGUUUCUUAAAUAUUUAUUGAAUUUGACUUUCAAGUGAAAAGGCUUGAAUAAAUUAAAAAGACGAUAAGACCCUAUAAAUCUUUACAAUAAACAUAUUUUAUAUUUUAGUUUAUAAAGUGUAUAAAAUAUUUAAUAUGUAGUUGUUCCGCUGGGGCGGCGUGGAUAUAUAAAUAAACUGUCUAUAUAUUAAAACCAAUAAUUAUUGAUUAAUAAGCUUGAUCCUUAAAUAGAUUAGAAGAUUAAGAUACUUUAGGGAUAACAGCGUUAUUUUUUUUGAGAGUUCUUAUCGAAGAAAAAGUUUGCGACCUCGAUGUUGAAUUAAAGUAUCUUUAUGGUGCAGCUGCUAUAAGAGAGAGUCUGUUCGACUUUUAAUACUUUACGUGAUCU
rnacentral:rRNA from 1 species